CGAAGGUUGGCAGAAUGGUAAUUGCAGAAGUUUGCUAAACUUCCGAGGCUGUCAAAGGUCUCACACAGGUUCGAACCCUGUACCUUCGG
rnacentral:tRNA from 1 species